GAUGAACGCUAGCUACAGGCUUAACACAUGCAAGUCGAGGGGUAACGAGAGGGAAGCUUGCUUUCCUUGUCGACGACCGGCGCACGGGUGAGUAACGCGUAUCCAACCUGCCCCCAACUAGGGAAUAACCUUGCGAAAGUAAGACUAAUACCCUAUAAUUUCCUCAGAUGACAUCUGACGAGGAAUAAAGAUUUAUCGGUUGUGGAUGGGGAUGCGUCUGAUUAGCUUGUUGGCGGGGUAACGGCCCACCAAGGCAACGAUCAGUAGGUGUUCUGAGAGGAAGGUCCCCCACAUUGGAACUGAGACACGGUCCAAACUCCUACGGGAGGCAGCAGUGAGGAAUAUUGGUCAAUGGGCGGAAGCCUGAACCAGCCAAGUAGCGUGCAGGAUGACGGCCCUAUGGGUCGUAAACUGCUUUUAUACAGGAAUAAAGUUAGCCACGUGUGGUUAUUUGUAGGUACUGUAUGAAUAAGGACCGGCUAAUUCCGUGCCAGCAGCCGCGGUAA
rnacentral:rRNA from 1 species